rnacentral:rRNA from 1 species
UCCGUAGGGUGCGAGCGUUGUCCGGAAUUAUUGGGCGUAAAGAGCUCGUAGGCGGUUCGGCAAGUCGGAUGUGAAAUCUCCACGCUUAACGUGGAGGGGCCAUUCGAAACUGCUGUGACUCGAGUCCGGUAGGGGAGUGUGGAAUUCCCGGUGUAGCGGUGAAAUGCGCAGAUAUCGGGAGGAACACCAGUAGCGAAGGCGGCACUCUGGGCCGGUACUGACGCUGAGACGCGAAAGCGUGGGGAGCGAACAGG